rnacentral:lncRNA from 1 species
CUCCAGUCAAUGUGAUAUUAUCAAUUCAGCACUCUGCUUUCGUGAAGGGAGAUCAAACCAAAUUCCAGAUUGAACCAUCGUUUGGAGUUGAAGCCUCGCAGCUUUAUCCUCAAGUCAAGUACACUACAGUUGAUGAGUAUCUCAGUCAGUUUGUGUAACCCUUCUCUGUUGAGCUGCAGCUUGCAGGAUCUUGGGAAAUAAAUAAUUGGCUUGUUGCCAUCUUUGGUUUCUAUAUGUAAGCAUUAUGGUUGUUGGCCUUACUUUCGUUUGGUUCUCAAUGGAAUUUGUAACACGAUAUUAUGUCCGCUAUGUCAGUACACAGUGAUUAAAUAAAGUAGCUCCAUGUGCUUAAUCUAAAAAUAAUUAUAAAGUCACAAGCACCUAAAAGUUAAACAACAAUGAUAUGCUUACAACAAUGUGUACGACAUCUAAUACAACAAGGAUCAUUUUGCAAAAUAUGUUAAAUUUUAUUAAUUUCUUUGCUGCCCAAAGAUUUUUAUAUUCAUCUUAGGGACCUAUAAUCUUAAUGAAUCAUCUCUUCUUCCAUUUCUCCUACAUCUAUCCUUAAAGCCUUUUAAAGUUUUAACUAUUAUUUUAUAAACUUUUAAAUGAUUAUCAAACUUAUAUAGAUCUAUAAAUUCUAGAUGAGAUCCUAUAUUUAUGAUCAUUUACCUCUUUUGUAACAUGGACCAAAUUUUUUCUUUUAACAUUUCUAUACACACACACACACAUCUAUUUUUCCAACUAAGGAUUAUGUCAUCAAGGCUUUCACAGAGAGGUUGCAAUCUAAAUUUAGCUUCUUGAAUGAACAUAUUCAUAUUAUCAUUAUUAUUAUUCAUUAGUUAUGGUCGGUUUUGAGUUCUAUUAUUAGUUCUGCACCUAUCUUGUAUUAUUUCAAGACUAGACAAAAUUGAUUCCAUUAAUGCUAUCCUAUUUUCCUCUUCAAAGGAAUCAAAUACUUCUUGGUCGUUAUGGAUGUUAAUUCUUUUCAUUUCUUUGGACAAGCGCUUGCUUGCAUUCGAUCUGAUUUUAACAAUAGAAAUUGUAUAAACAACUUGAUAUUCUUAACUGAAAUAUAAAUUAUCAAUUGAAUCUAAAAACUUGUUAACAGAUGUUUCCAUUUUUUUGAAUUUGAGUUAAUCUUAUCACUUUUUUUCUUAUAAAAUCUCAAAAAACAAACAAGACCCAAUAUACUUCCGUUUGUUGCUAAAAUAAAAAAAAAGGUUCAAAAUUACUAUCUCUCGGAAUUCUAAGAUAGAUUCACUAAUUGCCUCCAACCAUAGAGAGGUCCAUAGUCAGCACUGCUAUAAGUCCACACAUCAUGUAAGAUCAACUUAGCAACUAUUCUACACGGCCUAAUGCAACACAUAGCAGUUUGGCCUUGUAAGAUAUGUCUAAGUGAAUUUCUUGCAAUUGUCUCUGGAAAAGUACUUAAUAACAAGAAAUCUUCCUCGUCUAACACAAGUAUUGGCCUGUAAGCUUCUUAGUUAAUUUCUAACAAAAUAUAUGAUAUCAGGAAGAUGAUAAUUUCACUUAAAAGAGUUUUUUAUUUAUUUUAUAACUAGAAAUGUUUGCAAAGGAAAGUCAUAGAGAAUACAAAUGUGGGUGAAGGUUUAGACAUAUGAUGUCCUCCAUUUCUUACAUGUUUCGAUUUAUAAGCUUGAAGAGAUAAUAUUAUCUCCUCUUACAUGACACUUGUUAAAUUUUUCUAGUGGAUUGUGGAUUCCUUUAUGAUAAGGUGACCCCUAUCUUCUUCUAUCAUUAAAGACAUAUGUUGUCAUCUUUUUCUUAUUGACUAGCAGCCUUCACAUGGUUAUGAUAAGCUUUAUCUUUUUGGAAUCUUUUCUUAUCUUUUCACAUGCCAAUUAUCAGUUCUUCAUCUAGCGGCAUGUCUUCCCCAUUAGAUUCCCAUUUUGAUCCUUUGUAGCAAUAACCAUAUGAUGACUGAUGAUUUAGCACCUUGCAUACCUCGUGGUGUGUUAGCAAGCUAGAUUCCACGAGAUUUUCAUAGAUUGCAUUUUUCUGUUUUAGUAUUGCCUAUUGUUGGAUAUAAAUUCAAUUGUUAGUGGUGUCAAUGUGCAAGUGUACACAACAAGUAGUAAAGUGAUGAGUAAUCAAGAUCGUAUCCAUAGGGAUUGAUGUUAUUAGACUUACUACAACAAUCUUAACAGUGCAGAUUUUUUUUCUAAAUUAAAAUAAAUAAUUGAUGAAACUAAUGUACUAAUUAAAAUAAAAACACAAUAAAUAAAAUGCAAUAAAGUAGAUUAUCACGUCAAAUUCAAGGAUAAAACCAAUGGGAAUAUAGAAUAGUUUAGUGAAUAAACUCUCUUAAUGGUCUUGACUAUUUUCUAAUGUUUGGCUCGGUUGUUGCAGCAUCUGCUAUAGCACUGGGAAGAAUCCUUAUGUAUCCUCAGCUGUCGCAUGUUGGAUGUCUUAUAUCUAUAUGCAACUUAAUAGUGAUCAAUUGUUAUGCCAACAUAAGAUAUAGCAUUACACGUUUAGGUUUUAAUUACCCUACAAGAUUGAUUAACACUAAAAAGUGUACGUGUAAUAAGGAUAAAAUUAUUAGUUUUUCACUUAAAGUGUUGAUUAAUGCACGCAUAACUUAUAAAUUAUAUGAAUGCACCCCAAAUAAAUUUUUGUGUUAAAUUAAUUCGCAAUAUGUUAAUUUUUAUCUUAUAAAUAUUUUUCAGGAAUAAAUUAGAAUUGAAAGCGGGAACAAAGAAGGACUGCUGGAGCAAUUUGGAAGCAUUAUUGAGGAGAUGUAAAUAAAGAAAAAAAUAAAAAAUAAAAAAUAAAAAAUAAAAAAUAAAAUAUAAAAAAGAAAAUGAAUAAAAAAAAUAAAAAAAGAACAAAAACCAAGCAAUUUAGUUUCUCAUGAUGGCCACUUGACCAUUACACAUUUCAAUGUACACAUAUAAUAAUAAUAAUAAUAAUAAUAAUAAUAAUAAUAAUAAUAAUAAUAAAAUAAAUAAAGAUAAUGCAUUCCUUGCCUAUAAAAGGCAAGGAAAAGCAGAGAGCUGGGCAUUGAGAAGUUAGAGAACUGAGUAGAGACAGCUUAAGCCGAAAGAGAAUAGAGUGCAGCUGAGGAAUUGUGUCUUUUUCUUCUUUUGUUGUAAUCAACUUUCUUGUAACGUAUUUCCAAAGUUUAUCAAAUAAAUAGAGUGUUGUAUUUUCUUUCAGUAUGAAUGACUAAUUUUAUUAAGCUGAGGUGAAGAGUGAAGCUCAAUAUUUCAAACUAUUAAAUUUAUUAUUUUCUCAAAUGAGUUUUAAAGUUUAUUUUGUUCUUUUCUAGUUAUUUUUAUGUCAUGUUAAUUUAGAAAUUUCUUUAGGAUUUGUAUAGUAUUUUGACACAAUGUCGACACAUUAAUAUAGUGUGGCAUAUUAGGUACUUUAUUCCAUAUUUAUCCACACACAUAGAAUUAAAUGAUAUAAUAAUUAACUGGUAAAAGUGAGGUAAAAUAUAAAUGCGAGAGUAUUAAAAUUAUAGUUUGAAUACUGAGAGUGGAUAUUGUAACCUUAGUAUAUUUUUAAAUUGUUUUCAAAUAAUUUAUUUUCCCACAAUUAAUUUUCUUUGUUUAAUAAAUUGACAACUAGAUUUUAAAAUUUCCUAUGGUUCGACCCCGGACUCACGGGUUAUAUUAUAAUUAGACACUCUUAUACUUGGGAGUAAUACACUUUUAAGUUGUGUCAAAGGUGAAUCUCUAUGUCUAGUUCAUCACUAAUUUUAGAUUAAGCAUGACCCUUUUGGGAUUAAAUAAAACUCAAUCCAAGAAACCCAAUCUAAUACCAAGUAUUGCUAUGAUAUGCUUCACUAAGAUAAGCCCUUGUGUGGCUCUUUUUUAGCUAGUAUCAUUAAAUGGGUGAUCAACCGAAAUAAAUAAAAAUAAAUAUUAUCAAAAUAAAAUAUUACAGCAAACAUGCAGCAACUCAUAUAUUCAGUCAAUAAACCAUCAAAAUUGCUUAUCACUCAACCACAAAUAAAUCUAGUUCACGGUUUGAAAAAGAAAAAUAAAGAACAAAGUUUUAGCCAUCAAACACAUUCCCAUGAAUAAAAAGUAAACAUGAAAAUAAGAGAAGAAUAAAAAGGACUGAGUUCCCGCUUGAUUUCUACAAAUUCUCCUCUUGUGCAGCCCUUAAUCUCUCUCUUAAAUUUUUUUUUCUUUUGUUUCUUUGUGGUUUUUCUCCUUGGGUGACAGCUCUUUCUUUUCAUUAUGAUGUGUGCUCCUUUUGUAGUUGAAAAUUAGGGUAAACAGAAGCAUAGGUCGUGCAUAAGUCAGAUUAGGAAAUUGCAAAUCACAAUAUUCUGUAAAAUUUUCUCUGUCAUCGUUCCAGAAUUGCUACAGCAACGAAUGUUAUGCUGCAGCAACGAUUGCUACAGUAAUUACUACAACAACUGCACUGUUCUAGAUUUAUUUCAAUUCUUCUGUAGUCAAGUUCUUUUUCAUCUUUUACAAGACUAUUACAACAACAUUCCUUUCUUGAAAUUUGAGCUUCCGGUCACCUACAAUUAUGCAUAUAAUUUAAGCACACAAUUUAUUCUAAAUCAAACAAAAUUUAUGAAGAAUAAACUAAGAUGAAUGAUUAUGCAAAAUAUAACUAAAAUGCAAUAAAAAAACAUGUUAUUUACUCUCAAAGUAAUCUUGAUUUAAGUCUAAAAGUGUCAUGAUAACUCUCAUUUUAUAAAGUUAUCACCUAUCUGGCUAAGAUACUUUCUUUUCUACUAAAAAAAAAGAUUAUAUGGUCCUUUGUGGCUUCAUGGAGCCAUAUUUUUUUCUUACUUAUCCUCUCGAGAAAUUCAUGGAGGACUUUCAUUUAAAUGAUCUCUUUGCUCGUGAGAGCUUUAGGCUCGAAUAGUUUGGGAUAAUAAUCAUUGUAGACCUGACCUACAUCAACAGUUGGACUAACUUUUUUACUACUAAUCCCAACUUAUAUCUAUGUGCUGCACUGGAUACCAUUUGUUAUUACAGUGUUCAGGGAAAGCAGUGAGAAUCUUGAAAAAAAUCAUAUCUCUUGUUUUAGAUAUUCUUUUGAGAUCACUGACAGCCUUUGUAAUUUUUUCGGGGAGCUUUUUUAAUUCCCUACAUAAACAAGGUUAAAAAAACUAUAUUCAAACAUUUCUUUUAUUAAUUUUGCAUCAGCUUCUGGACCAAAGUUAAUCCUUAGGUAAUAUCCUAAAUGAUUCGGUAUUAUAGCUUGGCUAGGACAAAUCCCAUAGGCUAUUUUACCAAUUAUUUUACAAUCAUAAGUGUAAUUGCUUCCUAGUGGAAUUUUAACCAUUAGAAUGGAUUGUUCGCUUUUAUCAUAUUGAGGCCUUAAGCUCACUGAAGAGGUUUAAGAUUCUUUUUUCUUUUGAGUUAUAUGAAGAACUCUAGGUAGUCUGCCCUUCAGUUUGAUCCUUGAAAUGGAUCUUUUUUAGCUUAUUACUAAUAUAUUGUUAUAAAGUCUGGACUUCUGGAUGAUUUUGCAAACUUUUGUCAGGGCAAAGUCAGCUCAAUUCUUCAUGGGCAGCAUUAAUCAUGACAAGCCCAUCAUAAAUCAUACUAUUGCCUUUGAGAAGCAAUUCUUGUCCUUUAGAGCACAUCAUUAUGCCCUUAAUUAUUUCGGAAAGACUCCUCUCCAUGUAUUCUCGGCUAAGAAAAUCUGCAAUACAAGGGUUAGGUCAUUUAAUAUAUUCAAUUCAAAAAUCAUAUUUAGUAAAGAACUGCCGCCAUCUAAUUAAUCUUUUAUAUUAAGGGAGAUUAGACAAUUUAUUAAAUAUAAAUCCUUUGACUCAAGUGUUAUUAGAUCUUACCUUGAAUUUCUUUGGUAGCAAAAAGAAAGUAAAUUUAGUUAUUCCAUUUUUAAAUAUAAAUGUUUCGCUGACAUAUCUGCAAAUCUUUUCUUGAUCUAUUUUUAAAACUGCACCCCAAUGAUUAUCUGAAGCAUUAGUUUCAAGAAUUAAAUUAUCACUAGUGGUAGGAAAUCCUAAUCUUGGUAGAUUUUUACAUUUUUCUUUUAAUCUUUUUCCCACUUUGGUAUAAAGAUCUUCCCAUGAUUUUAUAUUGUUCUUUUUUAAUAAUCCUUGUGAAAGUUGUUUUUCUUUAACUAAGUUUUAUAUGAAACCUUCAGCAUAAUUAAGGCAUCCUAAAUAUCUUUGAAUUUGUUCUUUAGAUUCUAAUUUAUCUAGGAAUAAAUAUAUAUUUUCAAAAAUAUGAGGUUGCAUCUCAAUACCUAUUUCAUCUAUUAUUAAUCCUAGAAAUUCUAUUCUAGGUUUCAUUAUUUCGGCUUUCUUUUUAGAAAGUAAUAUUCCAUGUUUCUUUCAUUUUUCUGUAAAAGAAACGAGAUGAUUAAUAUGAUCUAUCUCAUUAUCUAAAUAUAUUAGAAUAUCAUCCAUAUAAACAAUGCAAAAUUCAUGAAAUUCUUUGAAGAUUUUAUCCAUCCUUCUUUGAAAUAUUUGUGGUGCAUUUUUUAAUCUAAAAAGCAUCACAAUCCAUUUAUAUUGUCCUUAAGGUGUACUAAAGGCAGUAAGUGGUAAUACUCUCUUCUACAAGUUUGAUUUGCCAAAAUCCAUAUUUGCAAUCAAACUUGCUAAAUAUCUUUUUAUUAAUUACAAAGGUAAUUAAUAUAUUUUUAUGAGGUAAAAAGUAUCCAUCAAAUUUGGUAUAUUUAUUUAAUUAUUUGUAGUUAAUAACCAUACGAGCUUUUCCUCAUUUAAUCUCUACAUGAUUCCUAAUCAUAAAGAUUGUACUACUAUGAGGACUUUUAAAUUAUCGAAAAAUCUUAAGUUCUAAUCUCUUUAAUUUGUUUAUCAAUUUUUUGUCUAUCUUCUUGCCCAUAUCUCAUAGGCUUAACACAUAUAAUAACAUUUGGAUCUUUUAAUUCGAUCUUAUCAUAUGCUUUAUCAAUUUCCCAUAAUUGAAUGGGGUUUUCACCAAAAUUUUUAUCAAGUUUUUCUAAAUUUUUUUCAUAAUUUGAUAUGAUUUGAUUGAUUUUUAUAGCAUAAUUACCACGCUAGUUGUGUUGAAAAUGUAAUUUUUGAGUUGUUCACCUAACAGGGUUAUAAAUUCUUGGUGUAGUAACGGAAUGAUUACAUGAUGUUUUAAGAAUAAUUAUUUCGUUAGUCAUUGUAUAAAUGAACUGAUGAAGGAAAUUAAUUCCUAAAAGUAUAUCUACACAUAUAUGAUCAUAAGACCAUAAUAUAGGGAUACUUAGGAUAUAAUCUUCUAUUUGGAUUAAAGUCUUAAUCCUACAUGUCCUUAAGGUGAUCUAUUUAACAUUUAUUCCUUGUCCUGUUAAAGGCUUAUAAUCUUUCCAAUAUGAUUUUGGAUAAAACCUAGAAUUAGCUAAACUAACUCUUGAACCAGUAAUAAUUAAAGCAUGAAACCAUUCUCGCUUAUGCUUAUAGUAUGGUAUGAUCAUUUUUAUAUGAACUACAAAAAGAUUAGACAUAUCUUGAUAUGGUUUGCUUAAUCCCUUCAAUUGUUAUGCUUAUUUCUCUAUCUCUUAUGCAAUAAGGAGAGAAAUUUUCAAAAAAAAUUCAUCCCUAAUAAUAAAGGAUUUAUUUUUGUUUCAUAAUUUGAUUCUAUGAAAAAAAGAAAGAUAAAUUCUAUUCCUUUUAUUCUUAAUGGUAUUUCACACUACUGACUUAAUGUCUUUCUUUCUCCAUUAAAGCCUACAUAUGUAUGAGGUUCAAUUAGAAUCUUUCUUUCUAAAUAUUUAAUCAUUUUGGCAUCAGCAUAAGAUUUUACUACUCCUGUAUCAAGGAUAGCAAAAGUCUCAUGGCAUGAUUUUCUAUUAUUCUAUUCAAUCUUGAUUUUUAAGUUUUGAUUAUUUUUCUAACUGUGGCCGAUAUUUCAUGUGAUAGUGGUAUGACAAGAUGGUUACAUCUAGUAUAACUUUGGGUUCUACUUAAUUAUGGUUCUAUUUUGAGUAUAGAGAAUGAUCUUCUAUUUCCUAUGAUGAUUCUUCCUUCUAGAGUAUAUUCUAUGGGUUUAGUAGUAUUUCCCCUUAUCAGAGUAGGUUGACUACUUAGAUCCAUUUCCCAUUCUUCUGGUAAAUUUAUUUCUCUUAAAAUUUUAAGAGAUUGUGUCAUUCCAACUUUCUUAACUAAUUUAUCUAUUUCAAUAAAAUCUUUAUUAGCAAACAUUUCACUAUUGGCUGAAUUUGUUAAUGCAUAUUCUAUGGCAUACGUUAUGCUAUAUGGAUAAGAUCUAUCAUGCAUUAUAUCAAAGUAUUUAAAAUUACGGCAUAAGGUUAAUUUAUUUAUAUUUCUAUCUCUAAAACUUAUAGAAUAUAUGGAAUAUAUCUUAAAUAUCAAUUUUUUUUUUAUAACUCAAGUUCUUUAUAUUAUUCCAAGGAGUGCAUGUUUUCGAUCUUUUAUUCUAUUAUCAAGUACUGCUAAAUUUACAGGACUAUCUAUUUCUUUUCGAAAAUGAGCUUUUAUCAUGACUUGGAUUCUUCCAAUAUGGACAUAUCCAAUCUUAGGUCUGUCGCUAGAUUUUAUCUUUUAUAUCAGAUUUUAAUAAUAAUGGUAUAUUUUGUAUUUCCCCUAGCAUACCUAAUUUCAACAAGCUCUUCUCACACAGUAGCACUAGAAUACGUUAUAUUUUUUCUUUUAAUCAUGUUAGCAAUUCCUUGUGCUAACUUAUUAAUUGAAGUCAUGGAUGAUUCUAAUCCUUUUUUUUUAAUCUUAAGGUAUUGUUUUUUUUAUCAAAGAUUAAUUCUCUAUUAAAAGAACCUUAUUCAUUAAUUCUCUAUUAAAAGAACCUUAUUCUUCUAAUUCUUCAUCCUGAUAUAAAUCUUUAUUAUCUUGUUCUUCUAUACUCAUUCUGAAUCUGAACUACUUGAAGUUUCUUCAGAAAGAUAAUAUAUAUUAUCGUUUUCACUAAUAUCUUCUCUAUUUGUAAUUAAUUCUAAAUUGUUGAAAUCCUCAAACAUCUUUAUGUUUGCUUUCUUCUUUUUAGGACAUUCGUUUGCAUAAUGCCUAUCGUCAUUGCAUAACCAACAUUUAGAUGCAUUGGUCUUAGAUUUUCUUUUAAAUUUAUUUUUCUUGUAGAAUUUCUUCUUAUAUUUACUUUUGUUGUAAUAUUUCUUGUUGGUUUUAAAGAAUUUCUUCCUACGUUCAUAGAUUUUAUCUGAACAUCCAAAUCUUGGUGGAUCUUCUAACUUAGAACAACAUAAUCCUCGAUUUUGCUUUUUUAUAAGUCUUUUAUCUCUUAUUUCAGCACACCAUUCGCUGAUUCUAUUUCCAGUAAAUCUGAUCUUAUUUCCUAAGGUAUUAGUUUUCGUUGUAUCUUCAUAUUUCUUGUUAUAUUCUAACAUAAUCUUUUUCCCCUAUAGGUCUGGUAUCUUUAUAAAAUAUAGAUCAUUAUAAUAGCAUAUGAUAUUUUCAUGUUUAUCAAAUUCACAUUUAUAAUAUAAUUUUUCGAGGCUACAUGUGUAUUCUUCUAAAUAACAUAUAUUACAUAUUUUAAGCCUUAUUAGCUUUAUUACAUUUUCCAUCAUUUUCCUCUUUAUUUCCUGUUGAAAAUUAGUUUCCUAAUCUUCUCCUAAGAAUUCUUUCCUUAUUUCAUUUUCAAAUUUAUUUACGACUUGAUCCAAGCUUUCGUCAUGAUCAUUAUUUUCUCCAUAUAAUAUUUUAUUUUUGUCGGUAUCCUUUAAUUCCAUAAACCAAUGUGACACUAUUCCUAUAAACGAAGUUUUAAGAAAUCCUAUACCAUUAUUUCUAUCUAUUUUGUUAAAUGCAAAUGCCUUUUUCAUAGAUUUAACCCAAGCGGUAAUCGUUUAGUCUCUAUCUUUGACACAGUCUAAAUCCAACCAUACUCCAUCAUAGUUGAUUGGUCUGUCUCUGUAUUCUCUUGGAGUUUUAUAUAUAUUUUUUUAGGUUUGUUAACCCUAAAAUAUUGACCUUGUGGUUUUCAUGAGUUGGUAUUUCUUUCCUAGCAUAGGAACCUCUAUUACUAGAUUCCCUUUGUUCAAAGACCCUUGGCUUUGAUUCAUUCAUUUUUAAAUGUUCUAUUCUAUUUUCAAUAUCUUGUAAGUUAAUAAAUACAUCUUCUUCCUCUUCAGAUUCAUAUUCUUUAUCGGAUAUCUCUGGAUUAGAUAAUUCUUUUAAUCCAUUAUCUAUAUUUUCACUUAACAUCCUUAAACUUAUUAAUUUUUAUCUUCAUUUAUUUUGUUAAAUAUUGGUCUUGAUAUUGCUACCAUUUUUUUAUUUUUCUUUUCAUCGUAGUAAAUUAUGGUAUCUUCUAAAAUUUUAUUUUUUUCUUGAAUUACCAUGAGUAGUUCUUCCAUAUUGUUACUAAUCUUUUGUACUUCAAUCCUUUUGUAAUUUUCCAUUUAUACUUAUUGCAAACUUGUUACCAAGUUGUUCAAUGAUUUUUUCAAUUUUAUAUAAUUGAAUUUCUAUCUUAUUUAAUUUAUCUUCAAUUAAAUUUUUGUUCAUGACAUUAAAGAUUUCUUGUCUGAAUCUAAUCUUAAUCUUCAAUUUUGAAGUCUUUUAUUAAUUGUUUGACUGAAUCAAAUUCUUCACUUAUUUAAUCUCCUAACAUUUUAAUUUAUCUUAUAUUUUGAGCAUUAAAACUUUUAAUUUCAAGUAUUUCAUUUGUACUUUCUAUAUCAUUUAUGGUUAAAUUAUGAUUUCCUAAUUUAUUUAAUAAACAUAGUGAAAUCCAGUUUAACUGAUUAUUUCCCCAAAAAUCAGAAUCAUUUACCAAAUUAAAUGGUUGAAAUCUUCUAUAAGUAAAUUCUCUAUGCCUACAACUAGACGGUGGAAAUUUAUAGGUUUCUAUGUUUUGUGAAAUUAUCAAUGGUUCUAUAAUUUAUUCAUAGUACCAUCUGCAUAAUAUUUCAUUAUAUGCUAACAAGUAUUUGUGACAUAUAAUAUCUCUUAUAUCGUUAGGAAUAUUGUUUUCUUCUAAUCCUUUAUAUAUAUAGCAAUAUACAUAAUAAAAUUUUUAUAUCCUAUCAGCAUGUUACUAGAAGGAUAGUAUUUACUUCUAAUCCUUUUAUUAUUCCAAUUGUAUUCAUUUCUUUGCUUAAUAGUUAAAAAUAUAUUAUAAUCAAUCACAAGUUCGUCUGUAUAAUUCUCAACAGAAUUAAUAUUCCAUUUUUUUUCAUGAAAAAUUAUUUCUAUAAACCUCUCUCCUAGUUCUCAAUAGGAGAAUAUGAUCUAUGUUUAAAUUUCUAUUCUUUAUUAUUAUGAGUUCUCCAAUUCUAAAUUCAUGAACUUGGGAUAAAUACAAUUGUUCUAAUUGUUUAUCAUCCAAUCUAUUUUGUUUUGAAUAAUAAUAUUGUGUAUGUUUAGUUAUGUUAUCCUUAAUUGUAUUACUAUCUAUCAUUAGAUUCUAUCCUCCAUUAUUUAUAAAAUAAACAAUCGUUUCUUCCAUUUUUAUAUUUUGAACCUAAAACUUGCCUUUGAUACCAAUUUUGCGAAUAUUUUUCAACCCAAAAUUCAAAUAAGGAUGUAAAUGAUUAAUUUUUAAAACUUUAUGAAUGCUUUGUAAUUUUGUUUUAUUAAAAGACAGUUUUAUGCAAAGUAUUGUGCAAUCUUUUGGAAGAUUGUCUUUUUCCGAAGUUAAAAGUAAUUCAUCAAUAUUUGACAUGUCAAACGCAGAAAUUAAAAGUAAUUCAUCAACAUUUGUCGUGUCAAAUUUACUUUAUGGAGGAGAAAUUGUAGGAACCAAUUUUAUGGGAUAGAAAAUUCUAGAAAUCCAAUCGAAAGAUAUUUAAUAAAUAAUUUUGUAGUAGAUUAUGUUAAAUAUAAUAUAUAAUAAAUCCAUGAGUUGUCACUCAUGACAAUUCAAUUAUUUAGUUUUGACUAACAAUAUUAUUACGUAUAACGUUAAUAUAACAUAGCAUGAGCCAUUUUAUAGUAUUAUUUUAACUGAAUUGAAAUUCUCGAAAUAAAAAAUUGAAAAGAAUGAACCUGGUGGUUGUUGUGAACCAAAAACAAGCCAGUAUUAUGCUUACAUCAUUCCAUUCUACAGUAAAGGUUAUUUAUAAUCAUAAUUAUAGCACCAAAUUAAUUGUAUUAUUAUAAGAGGUUAUAACUUAAUAGAUGUGUAAUUAUAAAAAUUAUUAUUUUAACUUAAUUAUUUUUAGUGCCAGUGAUAUGGAGACCAAAUAUGCACUAUAUUGAUAAUUAAUUAAUGUAGCAUGUCAAAUUCAAUUUAUAGACAAUAAUGAAAGAGAUACACAUAUUUAAAAAAACUAGUACGUAUAUUAUGUAAUAUUGGAAUUAUGCAAAUUUAUCUUGAAAGUUUAAAGAAUAAAUCAUUGUCCUAAAUAAUUUUAGAAAGUUAUUUUACUCCAUCUUAAACCUUUAAUACAACAUGGCAUUUUUUUUUAACAAUAUACCAAUAAUUAUUAUUAUAUAAAGGCAAAUUUCUUAAAAUCAUAUUUAAAAAAAUUAUAAUUCAUUAUAAUAUAGAGUUUAUUCUUAUUUAUAACUACUAGGCUUAAUAAUAGAACGAGUUGUACCCGAGCCAUGCCAAGACCUAGCCCAACCCUAUGACUAGAAUGAAGGGAUCUUUUUAUCAUUAUAAUAACUACCUUUCAUCAAUUUUUUUUUUAAAACUAUAUAAAGAUUAUUCUUACAUGAAGUAACAAUACAAGGCCCUCAUUAAGAAAUGAACCUGGACGACAUUAGGGCCUUUAUCCACAAACAAAAUUUCAAAACAUACUUAAAAAAAAAAAUCCAACACAUCCGUUAAGUACAACUUUAACAUGGUCACAUGAAAUUUGUGGGGUUAAUUUAUUUAAUUGUAUGCACCCGUUUGGUUUCAUUGAUCUCAUGGCUCAGGUUGAUAGUUAUUAAGUUAUGAGUCAUGAUUACCUAAAAUUUAUUUGGUUAUCCGUUAUUCUAAUGUUGUAUUUAAACCAUAAAACUAGAGAUAACAAAAUUUAUGAGAAGUUUUGUCUUAUCACAAUGUCUAUUACUGAAGAACGUAGUCCUCUUGAAUAACCAUGAUAAUUUAUUUAAUUUCUUUUGCUCUAUCUUAAACAUAUUAUAAUUGUAGUCAAAGUUUUGAUAGUAAAAAUAUAAAUAAAUAGAUAAAACAAAUGUGUCUAUUUCCAUAACUAAAGGGGUGUAUAUAUACAUUUGGACCAACCGAUAAAAUUUAGAUCAUGACAUUAGGUGAAAAUAAUCUUAUUUUAUUUUCUUUAGAUUAUGUUGGAGUUGUAACUUGCAAUCGAACAAUUCUCGAUUGAUUUAACAAAUGACCUUAAGGCCAUGUUUGCUUGGGGUAGAGAAGUGGGGAGAGGAAAAGAAUUUGAUUUCUUUUAUACUUUCCAUUGUUUGGUUAGACUAAAUUUAAUGGAAUUGAAUUUCCAUCAAUUUGAAGAAUUUGUAUUCCUUAUCAAUGAAUAAGGAUUUCAAAUUCCUUAUCUAUUUAAACACAAAAAUUCUAAUAUUAUCCUCUAAACAAAAUCAAUUUUAAAUAAAUGAAAGUAAAAAUAAUUUAUAUUUAUUUUCUUAAAUUAAUAGAAUAAACUUAUUUGAAAAAAGAAAAAACAGUAAAGGGACUCCCCAAAAAGUCACCGGAGUUUCGCCGGAGACGCGCUUUACCAUCAAAACCGGUACCGAUGGAAUCCUUAUGAGUCAAUCUACAACUCUAUGGGGUUAGAAAUGCUAAUAUACAUUGUUAUUUACCUCAAGUCUUAUUUAAAUGUUUGGGAAAAUUUUAACUCUCAUAUUUCCAACUAUAUAGUGUAUUUUCUUCAAAAUUAACAUUUCUAAUGAGUAAAUCAUCCAUUUAUGAUCAUUAUUAUGCAUUUAACGCGAUGAAAAAUGGAGGUCAAUGAUGGUCAAUGGCACCGGUCAAUGGUGGUUAAUGGAGGUCAACGUGGCAGCUGUCCAUGGCCAAAUGCUGUCAUUUUUAAAAAAAAUAAAAUUUUUUAUUUAAUUAGGUAAUUUUUAGAUUAAAUUAAUUCAUAAUUUUAUUAUGUUUUAAUUUAUUAACAAUAUUAACAUUAAAGAUAGUGGGUAUAUAUUUGUCCAAAUAAAAAAUAUGUAAUUUCUUUUCCUUUUAAAUUUUAUGUGAAACCAAACAAUAACAAUUAAUUUUUGUACUCUUUUCCUCUCACCACCUCUCCAUUCCUCUUUUUUUUUUUUUUUUUCUCCUCUCCUCUCCUCCCAUUUCUUAAAACCAAACACCUCCUUCUUAGGAGGUGUUUGGUUUUGUAAAAUGAAAAAUUCUAUAAAUAUGAUUUUGUUGAAGCCUUAAAUAAACCAUACAGUCUGUGCCGCGUAGAAUGGGAUACAGAAUUUUGUAUUUAGCUUGCAUGCAAAAUGCAACAUGCUUACGUGUGUCUAAUUUUCUAAAUAUCUCAUCCAUGCGGCAGCUAGCUUAGCCUUUUUAUAUUGAAUAAUUGAUCAUACAAGUGUAGUUUGUUAGUUUUACGCAACCCACGUAAAUCAAUUUUAUUACGCAAGAAUUAUUGAGAAAUCGCAAAUUAAGUUGAACUGGUCCAUGGUCAGAUGGUCUCGUCUCGUCUCGUCUCACCACUUGGUAUUGAUGCCAUGGGAAAAGAGUAGUUGGUUACUUGAUUUUUUAGACUUGGGGUGGCAUUGAAAAAGAUUGUUGAAAAGGAAUCGAGUGAAUCAAAUCGAAUUAGUUUGUCUUUCUGUACAAUACAUCCCCCAUUAUCUAGCUUAUUCAGUCUUGAGAAUUAUUAUCUGAUUUUGAUCCCCCAUUUAAACUUUUUGCCAAGACUAUCCUAGAAAUUGAUUUGUUUAUCAUUGCUUCUUGGUCCUUACGGUCUUUUAUGAAUCACAAUCAAUUUAAUCAUACAUAAAAAUACGGGUACAAGCUGGUUAGCUUACACGCUUCCUAUAUAAGAAAGGUACGGGAAUCAGAUUCAAAAUAUCCAUCCAUUCAUAAUUUAAAAAAAAAAAAAAAAAACUCCGGAAUUGAACUGAACGAGUUUCAGACAUGGCAUCGAAAUCCAAGAUUCUAUCCAUCGGCGGGACAGGGUAUAUCGGUAAAUUCAUCGUGGAAGCAAGCGUUAAAGCUGGUCACCAGACACCAGACGUUCGUGCUCGUGAGAGAAUCCACACUCUCUGAUCCCUCCAAAUCUCAACUCCUCGACCACUUCAAAAACCUCGGCGUCAAUUUCGUUAUCGUGAGUUAUCAUUUUUUUAUUUUUUUAAUUCCAUUAUUUUGACCCGUGGCAGUGUAGUAUCUACUUGAAAGACUUAGUAUUUUUAUUUUAUUUUAUUUUAUUGGGUGCCGUUAUUAUUAUGCAGGGAGAUGUUUUGAAUCAGGAGAGUUUGGUUAAGGCGAUAAAACAAGUGGACGUGGUGAUAUCAACAGUUGGUCACACUUUAAUAGCCGAUCAGGUCAAGAUUAUUGCUGCCAUUAAAGAAGCCGGCAACGUUAAGGUAUGACAUAAUUAUAAAUAUCUUGGAUCAGGAUUGUGCACUUGCGCACACGUGGUGAUUUAUUAUUGGCGUGGAGCUCGUUGUAGACUAGAGCUCCCUGUUCCGCCAAUAAACACCCGCUACAUGCACAAUUGCGCCCUCAAGAUAAUUUAAUUAACUAAUUAAUUAUAAACACCUAUGGCGUGAAUGCAACUAAAAGUAGCUGAUGUUUGUAAAUUAUUUAUUAUUCAGAGAUUCUUCCCGUCGGAAUUUGGGAUUGAUGAUGAUCGAAUCCAGGGCGCCGUAGAGCCAGCAAAAUCAACGUAUGUCGUAAAGGCGAAAAUCCGCCGAGCCGUUGAGGCAGAAGGCAUUCCGUAUACUUAUGUAGCAUCGUACUGUUUGAAUGGCCACUUCCUUCCCAAUUUGUCGCAGCCUGAGGCCACUGCCCCCCCUAGGGAUAAGGUCGUCAUCUUAGGUGAUGGAAAUCCAAAAGGUAAAAUAAAUUAAUUAAGCUCAUUGUUUUUAAUAAGAUUGUUGAAAAUAACCAUGUUUAAGGCUCCGUUUGUUUGGUAUAUGUUGCGAUGUUAGUGUUAUGGCCUAUUGUAGAAUGGAUGGUCUAGCAACUUAGUGUCUAUUUGGUACUGUUGUUGGAGAUUUUAAGAUAGAGUUUUAAGUGAUUACCAGAUACUGAACUGCCAUAUCAUGGCUGCCACACAACAAUUUCAAACAGAGCCUAAAUAACUUCAUUGCAAAAUAGUUAAAUGAAUCUAACUUAGUUUGGUCAUUUGAUUUUCAGCUGUUUAUAACAAGGAAGAUGAUGUUGCAACCUUCACAAUCAAAGCGGUUGACGAUCCGAGAACCUUGAACAAAAACCUUUACAUUCAGCCUCCCGGCAAUAUUUAUUCGUUCAAUGAUCUUGUGUCUCUGUGGGAGAGAAAGAUUGGCAAAACCCUCGAAAGGGAGUAUGUUUCAGAAGAGCAGCUCCUAAAGAAUAUUCAAGGCUAGUUAAAACUCUCACUUCUAAAUGUUAUUAAAGAAAGCCGCGAAUUUUUGCCUUAUUGAUCCUGUCUUCUCCAAAAUGUUGCAGAAGCUGCACCUCCACUCGGGAGGUUGUUAUCAAUUUAUCACUCUGCUUUCGUGGAGGGAGUUCAAACGGACUUCAAGAUUGAACCAUCGUUUGGAGUUGAAGCCUCGCAGCUUUAUCCUGAUGUCAAGUACACUACAGUUGAUGAGUACCUCAAUCAGUUUGUGUAACCCUUCUCUGCUUCCAGCUGCAGCUUGCAGGAUCUUGGACUCUGGGUAAAUAAAUAAUGGGCUUGUUGCAAUCUUUGGUUUUUAUAUGUAAAAAUUAUGGUUGUUGGCCUUACUUUCUUCUGGUUGUCAAUGGAAUUUGUAAGACCAUUUUAUGUUUGCUAUGUCAGUGAUCAAAUGAAGUAGGCCAUGUACUUGAUCUGAGAAUAAUUAUAAAGCCAACAUGGUCAGGUGAGUGCGUCUGUGGGGCUUUUAUUAGGGUGCGUGUGUGAGGCUUCUGAGGGGCUUGUGAUAUGGGGUCUACAGCCCCUAAUGGGCACGCGACUGCGUGCACUAAAUGAAGUUAUUAUAAAAAUAAUUAUAGAGUCACCAAGGCAAAAAUUAAAAGUAAUUUGCCAAUAAAAAUAGUUAAAAGUAAUAAAAAGUAGGUAUUAUAUUUCAAAA